GACGAACGCUGGCGGCGUGCUUAACACAUGCAAGUCGAACGGAAAGGCCCUGCUUUUGUGGGGUGCUCGAGUGGCGAACGGGUGAGUAACACGUGAGUAACCUGCCCUUGACUUUGGGAUAACUUCAGGAAACUGGGGCUAAUACCGGAUAGGAGCUCCUGCUGCAUGGUGGGGGUUGGAAAGCUUCGGCGGUUGGGGAUGGACUCGCGGCUUAUCAGCUUGUUGGUGGGGUAGUGGCUUACCAAGGCUUUGACGGGUAGCCGGCCUGAGAGGGUGACCGGCCACAUUGGGACUGAGAUACGGCCCAGACUCCUACGGGAGGCAGCAGUGGGGAAUAUUGCACAAUGGGCGGAAGCCUGAUGCAGCAACGCCGCGUGCGGGAUGACGGCCUUCGGGUUGUAAUCCGCUUUCGCCUGUGACGAAGCGUGAGUGACGGUAAUGGGUAAAGAAGCACCGGCUAACUACGUG
rnacentral:rRNA from 1 species